rnacentral:lncRNA from 1 species
AGUAACGUGGGCUUCUAACCGAGUGGGGCAUUAAAGUGGUUGAAUGGUGUGUUGAAAUUACGCUCAAGCCAUCCUCAGGUCUUGGGCCGCUUUCUCCUCACUCUCAAACCUCCAGCCCACCACGGACUGGAUAAGCACCUUAAAACUUGAGGUAUUGGAGUCAAAUGGGAGGGCUCCGGGUCUCUGAUCUUGUAGGGAGACUUCCACCAAACAGCCACUUUUGUUCAUUUUUUUU